GUCCCAGCAGUGCAAUGGAUAGCGCGUUGGACUUAUAAUCCAAGGGGCGAGGUUUCGAGUACCACCGGGGAUG